rnacentral:rRNA from 1 species
UACGUAGGUGGCAAGCGUUGUCCGGAUUUACUGGGCGUAAAGAGCGCGCAGGCGGUCGUUCAAGUCGCGUGUGAAAGCCCCCGGCUCAACUGGGGAGGGUCACGCGAUACUGAUCGACUCGAAGGCAGGAGAGGGAAGUGGAAUUCCCGGUGUAGUGGUGAAAUGCGUAGAUAUCGGGAGGAACACCAGUGGCGAAAGCGGCUUCCUGGUCCAGCACCGACGUCAGGCACGAAAGCGUGGGGAGCAAACAGGG